rnacentral:rRNA from 1 species
GCAGGAGAACGCUGGCGGCGUGCCUAAUACAUGCAAGUCGAGCGAACAGACAAGGAGCUUGCUCCUUUGACGUUAGCGGCGGACGGGUGAGUAACACGUGGGUAACCUACCUAUAAGACUGGGAUAACUUCGGGAAACCGGAGCUAAUACCGGAUAAUAUUUCGAACCGCAUGGUUCGAUAGUGAAAGAUGGUUUUGCUAUCACUUAUAGAUGGACCCGCGCCGUAUUAGCUAGUUGGUAAGGUAACGGCUUACCAAGGCGACGAUACGUAGCCGACCUGAGAGGGUGAUCGGCCACACUGGAACUGAGACACGGUCCAGACUCCUACGGGAGGCAGCAGUAGGGAAUCUUCCGCAAUGGGCGAAAGCCUGACGGAGCAACGCCGCGUGAGUGAUGAAGGUCUUCGGAUCGUAAAACUCUGUUAUUAGGGAAGAACAUACGUGUAAGUAACUAUGCACGUCUUGACGGUACCUAAUCAGAAAGCCACGGCUAACUACGUGCCAGCAGCCGCGGUAAUACGUAGGUGGCAAGCGUUAUCCGGAAUUAUUGGGCGUAAAGCGCGCGUAGGCGGUUUUUUAAGUCUGAUGUGAAAGCCCACGGCUCAACCGUGGAGGGUCAUUGGAAACUGGAAAACUUGAGUGCAGAAGAGGAAAGUGGAAUUCCAUGUGUAGCGGUGAAAUGCGCAGAGAUAUGGAGGAACACCAGUGGCGAAGGCGACUUUCUGGUCUGUAACUGACGCUGAUGUGCGAAAGCGUGGGGAUCAAACAGGAUUAGAUACCCUGGUAGUCCACGCCGUAAACGAUGAGUGCUAAGUGUUAGGGGGUUUCCGCCCCUUAGUGCUGCAGCUAACGCAUAAGCACUCCGCUGGAGAAUCGACUUGG